rnacentral:misc_RNA from 1 species
AACGCACCUUGCGCUCCUUGGUAUUCCAAGGAGCAUGCCUGUUUGAGUGUCAUGAAAUUCUCAACUGCCCCGAGCUCUUGUGGCUUGCGAGGUGAGGUUGGAUUUGGAGGACAUUGCCGGCGUGUGCUCUGUGCACGCUUGUCGGCCCCUCUUGAAUGCAUGAGCUUUCCAGUCCUUGGCAAAGUAUCGACGAUGUGAUAGUUAUCUGCGUCGCUCGAGAAAAGCGUGUAAGGGGAAAUCUACGAUCGUAUCGGCCCUUUGGGGGUUCCGUGUCUGACACAUUCGACCUCAAAUCAGGUAGGACUACCCGCUGAACUUAA